AACAGGUGGAUACACAGGUUAAUUAUGAAUUGUUUAUUAUUAUGCCGUCUAGUGGAAGAGCAUUAAAUUUUUCUGCCUGCCACUAUACUUACUAGACUGAUGAACCAAAUAUAUAUUCAGACAAAUUAAGUGAAAUUGGACAAUUUCCUACAACGCACAUGACGGGCUACUACUGUAUGUGUUGGGAAUCACUGGUAUAGUUGACUUUUCCCAUGGGUCCCCUACUAUAGGUGACUUAUAAGUCAUAAGCUUCCCGAGCUGCAUGCAACAAUACUACUCAGCAUCAUCAGCAUAUUUUUAUUAUUAUUAUUCAUAGUAUUAGUAGAAAACAGACAACAGUUUCCAUCAAAUUGUUUAUAUCACCUCCAGCAAGGUUGCAGCAGUCGUAAGAUGCGGGCUGUGGACCACCUCACAGGCGUCCAGGUUGUCAUAGGUACGUGCUGCAGGCCAGUAAAGGGUCAAAAGUGUUAAAAUGUGUAAUGACACACUAGUCAAGAGUAAACAGGUGUCAGAUUAUUAAAGAGUUAGACGUUCACCUUCAUAUCGCAGAUUGCCCAUGUGUAAAAUAGCUGCCAGCAGUUUGGAGAUCUCCCAGUUCUCUUUGUCGGUAAACAUCAGAACCUGCACGAUGUCAAGACACUGGUCAUACACAACAGUGUUGAGUGUUAAUUGAGUGCACGUACCUUCAUCGCAGAGCGGAUGUUGGAGUACUCCUUCAUGUCAUCACGGCCGUCGCACACGGGAAGUCCCAAAAAGAUGACACACACUUCAACAAUGAGGGGUGGCCACUGACCAUAGUCAGCUGCAGGUGUGAUACCUGGCGACAGACUCGCGAUUUCUCCAGCAGGAUGGGGUUGGCCUCCAGGACCUGCUGCUCGAUCCACGAGUGUUGACCGCUGAUGGCUGCCAGGAACUGCAGGAUGAGCUUGGUGCUUUCUGUCUUUCCCGCUCCAGAUUCUCCGCUGUUGGACACCCACAAGAGUACAUGUUUGGCUCCCUGAGCAAGUAAGACCGAGAGGUGCAGCAGCCUACCUGAUGAUGCAACACUGGUCACGGUUGUUCCUCUGCAUGUUGAAGUAACAAUUGUCGGCAAUGGCGAAGAUGUGAGGAGGCAUCUCACCGAUCUUCUUAUUAGUGUAAAGGCGGAUCUGGUCCGCCGUGUAGAUGGGAAGCAGCUGAUACGGGUUGAUGGCCACCAGGAUGGAGCCCGUGUAUGUCUGGAAGGAGGAUGCUAACAUCACCAGUGGGUCAACACUCACUGACUAAGUAAACUAGCAGGGUGAGUGUUAUUUUGGAAGUGUAUACUCAUGUUUCGCAGCAACACAAACUCUGAAGUAAGAUGGGUGAGUUGAGGCUGUUUGAGAGAGGAUGGGGUAACAUGCGUCUGGCAUCUCAGGUGGACGAACAUGUCAGCAUUUGCCACCAGAGAAGAGGCGGCCAUGUUGAGAACGAUCAACAUGCACGCAUGCACAGGUCAGCUUGCUUACCACCAAGCGCCACAAGUAAGACGCAGUUCAUCUGUCAAGCUCAUUUUUUGAGGUACUUAACAACCCAAAAGUGUCUGCAACAGUUUGCUACAUGCCACAAAAAUGCAGUGUACAGACACAAGAAGGGACAUGUUCCGUCCAGUGUGCACAUUUGCCGUAGCCAGUGAUGUCUGGAGCCACCUGCAGACUUACCCUGCCACCACAGUUUGUCUUCAGGGCAAACAGGAAGAGGAAGGCAAAACAGAAGCAGAAAGUGAAGAAGAGAUAGUAGAAAAGCCAGAAGUAGUGGUUGAGCUAGAAGGCUGUGGGCUACUCAGGUCUGGAUGAGUCCAGAUGGGUCUUAAGCUGGAAACACAACCAAGCAGUCGACUCACAUAGAUGAGCUUCUCCCUGUAUCUGAUGAGCAGGUUGCGGAGGAUCCCGGCCUCAUUGAGGUCUCCCAGGCGGAUCAUGUCCUCCACACCAUGGAUGGAGGUGGGAUGCAUGGGCUUGAUGUUGGUGGCAUUCUGGGGGGAGAUCCAGUGCUCCUGGACAUGGAGGGAAAGAUGAUUACGAUCUAAGACCAAGUCCUCAUGAUGAACUGGUGUGCGUGCGACCAUAUACUAACUCACAUUUCCCUCAUCGUCCACCACCUGGAUCUGUCCCGAGUCACAGAGUUUGACCACCGCGCCGAUCGGAACCUCAAACUCCCGACCACUCUUCAAGUCCAGCCACACGUAGUCACCCUGGCAACAAAAGUAGCACUUAGGUCAGUUCACAUGUCUUUGUGUCUUCAUGUUCACUGAAACAUUCUCACACAACACAGCCCUGCACACACACACACAUACACACACACACACACACAUGCAGCGUACCGGCAGCAGUGUGCUGUUUUUCAUGACAGUGUUGACAUUUCGGAGCAAAGCCCAUUUGGCCUGAUCCUUCUCGUAGAGGUCCACAUAGUCCCGACGCUUGUACAUGGUCACACACUCACUCACUCACUGAUAUGAGUCUCAAAGGGUUGGCUGAAAAUGAUCCAAUCCACAGUCCACUUAUUCCCAUCAAAUAGUAAAAAGUCAGUUGAGGAUCAUCCUGCUUUUGAGCUCGUCUUACGUGUGGAUAAGGCUAAGUUAAGUCCAUCCACGUGCUCACUUGCAGUAACAUUUUGGUGACACUCCUGCUUUGACUCUACGUUCCCUCAGGCUCCACAACCUCCCCUCCGUCGUCCACGGCAACAAGAUGCCGCUUCCUCCUUAGGUGUGCCCGGCAGGUGUUGGAUUUCUGAGCAGACACUUCAAGCUCAUUCUGCCAGGAUGUCUAUGUCGCCAGUAAACAUGUUGGACUGACUUCAUUAGCACAACCCGAUCCAGUCCGCCCGAGGGGGGGUCUCCCAUCACCCCCCACUGAGGGGCAUGCUGGCCCGGUCUGACCGCCUAAUGGCGGCUAAUGCAGUCUGACUGCAAUGGAUUAUGGGAGACUUCCUGGGGUGGCACAAAUGGAAGGUCAAGGACUUUUUCAAAGUCAACACAAUUUCUACAUGUGACCUUUGUCACCUUCACAGCAAGAAGUACGAGACUUGAACACCUAAUUAGUGGAUGAAGGGCAGACGAUGAUGCUGACGAUGCUGCAAGAAGCUUUUAGUCCCACAGUGGUGGCAGGUUGAAGAAAAGAUCUUCAUUUCCAGCCUUCCGAGUUGUCUUCACGUCCUCCACUUCUUCGUUUUGGCCUCUACCUGAUCUCCAUCCAGUUAGGGAUCCUCAGAGAAGGUCCACUUCCUGCUCAUGUGAAGCUUCCUCCUCUCCUGGGGGCGUGUCCAUCUGGCCAGCUGAGGCGGAGGCCAUGAUGGUGUUGAGGCGCGUCAGAGAGGCGGAGCGCUGCUUGAGUCUGGGGGCGGGGCUCGGCUCGUCGGGCAGGUGGCCGUAUCGGCGGCCAUCUUCGUCGUACUGAUAGAGACGAAUGACGCGACUUGGACGAGGCGGCGAGACUUGACAGGAGGAUGCCUUCCUCUCGCCUCCUCCUUGCUCCUCCCUUCCACCUGGUCACAUGCUUCCAAGUAGGCGGUCGCCUCCUGCUCGUCCUCGCCUCGUCUUUCCCGGAAGCUUCUCUGAGGUUUGGCAGGUGGAUUGGAUCCCAAGCUGCUUGUGGUCUCAUCGUCCCUCACCUGCUCCAUCUUGUUGUACAUGGGUGGAAGUGUCACCAUGGUGAUGUCAGAGCCUGGCAGGUGAUGCUGUUGCCGUGGUGAUGAGGCAGGUAACAUCCUUGUGAGCCCCGGCAGGCACCUGCAGGAACAAAGUUAAAAAGCAUUCCAUGGGACUUCUGCCAGCUCGAAAGUAAGGUUUCCCUACCUGAGAACAUGUCUCCUGCUCAGAGCUCCUGCACUGAAGCCAAACACAAAUGUGAGUAGCACUGAAGCCGCCACAGCUCCUGCAAAGAACUGGACAGAAACGCCUUUCUGCUCCUCUGGAACGGAGCCAAGCUCCCUCCUGACCCUGAGAUGUUCACGCCCUCCAUCUUCUGGUCGUUUGCGGAGCUGGUAAGGGAACAGUGUGGACACUCCGUCAUGCUGCAGGAGACAGUAAUACAAGCCCUCGUGGAGGCUGCUCAAGUUGUUGACCACGAGGCGGCCAUCAUGGUGCAUGUAGACCGGGUCCAGUCUGGAAUGGAAGCCAGGCGUUUGGAGGUGUCCAAAGGGCGUGUGCCAGUAGGCCACCACACCUGCUGGUGGAAGAGGAGCACAUACAAUCUCUGUAUGUAGCUCAUGUGCUUCUUCACCUGCAGUGAGUGGACAUUUGACUUUUCACUCACCCGCCCCCUUUCCAUCACCACACUUAAUAGUCACUGCCACCUGUGGUUGACCUUCAACCCUGAUGGUGGGCACCACCACCGUCAGGGCAUUCUGGCCAACAGCUGCUCCCUCGGGAUACGCUGGGACAGCCAAAAAAGCCGUGAAAGUUAACCAGCAAGUUAACAUUUCAAACCUGAGGCAGACAUAAAAGUCAU